AGCCGCAAACAUACGCACGACCCCACUCCCCUCUCUCUGCCGCCCGCGUUGCCAUCGCCGCGACAUUGCGCUUCCUGUGCAUUCUUUGAACCUUCGCCCUCUCCCCUUUCCGCUGCCCCGCCCUCGGCUGCAUCGCCUCUCCCCUUGCGUGUGUGUCUGUGCUGCUGCUGGCCCAGUCGCCGAGCCAGACUCGCUCUUUGCUGUUUGUUGUUCCACGGAGCGCAGCCAUCGACUCGACGCGCGGCAACCGCAGGAAGCGCGAGACUAAUCGGCUGAUAUACACGCCAAGCGACUCUGCAGAGACACGCGCUCACACACUGGCACACCACCAAACCGACGAUAAUGAAGGGCUUCCUGAAAAACACAAAGUCGUCCGGAGGCUUUGACCCGGUCAAGGUGCGCGCCAACAUCCGCAUGGCCACCACGCGUCUAGGAAUGCAGAAGAACAAGCUGGUGAACAGCGUCAAGACGCAGCGCCGCAGCGUUGCAGAGUUGCUCGCUCUGGAGAAGUACGACUCUGCUCGCAUUCGGGUCGAGAACUGUAUCCGCGAGGAUGUGAACAUCGAAGGCUACGAGGUGCUGUCGCUCUUCCUCGACCUGUUGGCGAAUCGUGUGCAGCUCAUCGCCGAAAGCAAACCGCUCAAGACGGACAAAAACAAGAAGGACCCGAGCUCGGCAUGCCCGCCGGAGCUGAAGGAGGCGAUUACGUCGGUUCUGUGGGCGAGCGCGCGUAUCGGUGACUCGGUGCCGGAGCUGGCGGCGCUGCGCAAGAUGUUUGAGUCGAAGUUCGGUCACGAGUUUGUCGAGAUGUCGAUGUCGAAUGCCGAGUUUUCCGUGAACCAGCGGAUGAUGGAGCGGCUCGGCAUGUACACGCCGCCGAACGACAAGUGCGUUGCCUACCUCACCAACAUCGCGAGCGAGUUCCAACUGACGAACUACGACGAGGAGCGACUUCGAGACCCAAACGGGCUGGUCGCGUCGGCAGCUGCGGCCAGCGGUGGUGGCGUCGAGUGCUCCGGUGCCGGUGCAGCGUUGAGCCAGCAGGUGUGCGGCUCUGUGCGGACGCCAUCUGGCCUGCACAUCCCGCCCAUGCAGGCCCCCUACGACGCCAUUGACCAGCGCCUCCUGCAGCUGAUGUGCGUCUAGUAACUGCGCAUGUAUGUAAGCUUGGGGUAGGGAAUGGCACAGCUCCUCCGUCAGAGGCGCAUACAUGACGGCGAGCAAGGGACGAAGGCGGCGAGAACCACUGAGCGCUUCCAGACACAGACGAGGGUCUUCACGUGCCGCGAUCCAAUUAUAGAGCACCGUCCGACCCUCCCCUCCGCCUCCUGCUCCUGUCGUUCGCGUUCCUCAGCCCACGCCGUGUUGCCCGUCACGUGCUCGCCGCCUUGUGCCUUCCUUCAUCUUCUGCGGCAUACGGUGUGGGCCGGCUCUGUUGGUGAGUGCUCAGGCACUUGCCGGGUAUCGUGCUCCCCGUUGACUGUCUUCUCCUCCGUCUUACUGUGAUGGACAGGCUUAUGCAGCAUCCAUCUCCAGUGUCUGUGCCCUUGGUCCUUCGCCUCUUCGCGCUCCUCUCCUCCCAUUUCGUGCCUCAUGUUCCGGUUCUUAUGCUUCUUUCCGAAGCAGCAGCGUGCGCUGCUGCCUGUUGCACUGUCGCGUGUUUGCUGCUCGUCCUCCCCCCGUUGCUCCCUUGUGACGGACAGCCCCCCUCUGUGGGCGGUAUAAACAGGGUUCGGCGCUCGCACUCUCUGUGCGGGAGAAGCCAGUCGACCCCCCCAGCCCCUGCCCCUCUCCCUGCCGAUGCCGAGCCCCUCCCCCUCCCCCCUGCUGGUGGUGUCAGGGGGAGGCACCCACCUAGGUAGGGAUGCCAGAGCGAUGUGUGGCUGCUGAUGUCGGCGGUCGUGUCCUGGGGCGGCGUUGCGUCGGCGCGACCCGCGACCGUGGGCACGUCUGUGGCAUCCAUAUGAGAAUAGGCAAAGCAUCAGGGUGACUCGAAGGUACCUCACCCCUACCCCCGACCCACACACGCCCCACACCGGUGUGGGGAGGCUGAGCCACCGCGAGGGGGGGGCGGGGAGGGAUGCGCGAGGUGGCGUCUGGGCAUCACGUGAGCGGCUGCGAGGCGACCUGCGGGGGCCGAGGUGUGAGUGGACAGAGUAUGAGGCCGAGGCGGUGCUUCGAUGAUCGGGCCGGCGCGCUGGUGUAGCGCGCGUGUGUCUACGGCUGCAUGGGCACCACACACGGGACGGGUCUGUGAAGGUCCAGGGCUGGAGUGGCGCGGGGAGGGGGGCCGUUCGAGUCGCGUUGAAUGGCACCGGGUGGACUCGGUGGCAAAGCCGUUGUUCGGUCGUCUGCUUCUCUCCGUUUGCGGAUGCUCCCGACACGCACACAUGUGCGCACGCGCAUCCAUGUAUGUACGCUGUGCGUGGAUUUUGAUGUGUAUUCAUCUGCUGCCUGUUGGUAGACGGCAGGAGGAGGGACGGCUGGUUCUUGUGACAGCGCCGUGGGCUGCCGGUAAUGCGUGUAUGUGCUAGCGAGUUGUCUGCUCUGCACAGCCGCCUUUGUGUUUUGGUUUUCUUUCUGCAUGCUGCCUAAUUCGUUGGCCGCGCCGUUGUGUCAUUGCAUGCCCAACUGCAUUCUUCGACAUCUUCUCCUGCGCACGUGUUCAAUGUGUUGAUGGCUGUCACUGUCGUCGACUGCGCCACUUGCCGCGUUCACCGUCAUCACGCCAGGUGCGUAUGUGAGUGUAUGUGUGUCUCUGUCGACGUGCCGUCACCACGCGGAUGGAGAUGAUCUUGACAUGUACAGCUGUGCUACCCCCCGCCUCUGUCGCCUUUCUGCACCUCAUUCCUUCGCGCAUUGCGUUGCACCUCCUGCGCCGUGCAUCGGAGUGCUUCAGGGAAAAGGCCAUGAGGGAGCAGUGGCGAUAGGCGAGUUGGGGUGGGGUGGGGCGUACACCAGCAAGCCAAG
rnacentral:misc_RNA from 1 species